rnacentral:rRNA from 1 species
CAGUCGCCGCGGUAAUACGAAGGGGGCUAGCGUUGUUCGGAUUUACUGGGCGUAAAGCGCACGUAGGCGGACUUUUAAGUCAGGGGUGAAAUCCCGGGGCUCAACCCCGGAACUGCCUUUGAUACUGGAAGUCUUGAGUAUGGUAGAGGUGAGUGGAAUUCCGAGUGUAGAGGUGAAAUUCGUAGAUAUUCGGAGGAACACCAGUGGCGAAGGCGGCUCACUGGACCAUUACUUACGCUGAGGUGCGAAAGCGUGGGGAGCAAACAGGAUUAGAUACCCCGGUAGUCCCUGUCUCUUAUAC